CCAAAAAUACCUCAUGCAAAACAAAAAAAAAACCAACCAAACAAAAAAAAGUGCCUAGAAUAUUUAACAAUUCAUUGUGCAAUUAGAAAUUUGCUGGUCAUCGUCCUGCCCUGGGACAGAUUUCAGUAGUGAAGAUGUUUUUUAAAGUCAUUCUGUCAAAUCAUUUGAAUUAGUUUAAAGGGCAGUUCAUACAAUUUCAGAAAAUACUGUUUGUGUCUUUUCCCACUGUUCCCAGAUUUUGAAAAGUUACUGCUUAUGUCUGAAGGCAAGAAUUGAAAGUGCUGUGGGAGAGCAAGCAGCUCCCUGCACACAUCCACAGCACCGGUUCUGCAUGAGAAACAGCGCUGAACUUCGUCGGGAGAGUAUUUUGAGCAGGUCCAGUUGAUAAGCACUCCAGAAUCAAUAUUUCAUGUUAUUCUACUAUACAAAUAUAACACUGAUAGCGGCAGCACUACAAGAGGCUGGAAAGAAGUCAAUGUCACAGGCAGUUGGCAUUCAGGCUGCAUGUCCAGCAGGCAGCUCCUGCAGCUCUGGCUCUGCUCUGGCCAGGGCAGCGUGGGAUGGAGAGCCAACACCAGCCAUGCUCACUGCAGCUCUGGGACACUAA
rnacentral:lncRNA from 1 species